rnacentral:rRNA from 1 species
AUGGAUACCCAGGUCAAGCUCGCAGUCGUGGUGAAGGUGAUGGGCCGCACCGGCUCCAGGGGUCAGGUGACCCAGGUCAGGGUGAAGUUCCUGGAUGACCAGAACCGUCUCAUCAUGAGGAACGUCAAGGGCCCUGUUCGUGAGGGCGACAUCCUCACCCUGCUCGAGUCCGAGCGGGAGGCCAGGAGGCUGCGCUGA